AACGAACGCUGGCGGCAUGCCUAACACAUGCAAGUCGACCGAGACUUUCGGGUCUAGUGGCGCACGGGUGCGUAACGCGUGGGAACCUGCCCUUAGGUUCGGUAUAACUCCCCGAAAGGGGUGCUAAUACCGGUUAAUGUCUUCGGACCAAAGAUUUGUCGCCUUUGGUUGGUUCUGCGUUGGAUUAGCUAGUUGGUAGGGUAAAAGCCUACCAUGGCUAUGAUCCAUAGCUGGUCGGAGAGGAUGAUCAGCCACACUGGAACUGAGGCACGGCCCAGACUCCUACGGGGGGCAGCGGUGGGGAAUAUUGUACAGUGGGGGAGGGCCUGAUCCAGCAGUGCCGCGUAAGUGAUGAAGGCCUUAUGGUAGUAAAGCUCUUUUACCCGGUAUGAGAAUGACGGUACCGGGAGAAUAAGCACCGGCUAACUCCGUG
rnacentral:rRNA from 1 species